UGCUCAGUAUGAAUGUAUGUCCAGAAAUUAUAUUGAGUAGAAACUGAAAAAACAUUCUUUAUUUCAAAAUAUAGCUAACUGAUUUCUCCCACAGACUUUUCGCUUCGCUUUACUUUUUACUCAAAGUUCUUCUUUUUCUUCACUCUUGAUAAACACUCAGUCCUAACCCUGCAGAAAGCUAGCAGAGGUGGGAAUGCCAAGGCCUAUACUGAAUGUUGUGCCCCAUUUUUUGGUUUGUUUUCUUUUUAAACAAAUGCCCUCUGUCGUGUGAUGCCUAUUUUAUUAUAAUUGUAAAAGGAAAAACAUGAGGAAUGAGAAUUUCUCAGUUAGAGCCCUGUUUAGUGAUUUCUCAGCAUGUGGUGUUUACCCUUAUCUUUAACUGAUCUUUUUUAGAAUUAAUUUUUAAAUUGGAUGUUUAGUAUUGACUGGUCUGCUCAAUGACAUCAUGCUUUAUUUUGUAACAUGUAUAUUUAUCAUGGACAUACAGUAUUGCUGCAUAAGGUGAGGUGAUAGAACUGAUUCUACUGUAUAUUUAGUAAGGAAAGUAGAAAUCACAAUCAGGAUUAUUCCAGUUGGUGAAGCUCACAGGUACACAUAUGAGUCAGUCUUCAACACAUUCCAUCACAUGAUUGCUCAAUGAAGUACCAAUGAGUAUUUGGUUAAGAAUAGUAGCAAAUAUUGAAACUUCACAUAUAAUGAGGCAGCUACCUUUUUCAUUAUUAUUAUUUUUUUCAUACCUACAAUACAGUAUAUGGAAGUCUAAUCUUUGUUUCCCAUCAUUCAACAGAUGCAACCCUUUUUAUCAAGCACCUACAGGAAAAGCGUCAGGCAAAGGGACAGAGGCUGCAUUAUGCAAUUGUAGAUCGGGGAAGCCAUUUUCCAGGGUGCUGCGAGAGGGAAUGAGGUGGGCAUUGAUGAAGUUAGGUGUGGGCCAAUUAUGUUCCUGCAGUGAUUUUAAUGAAUGAGGAUGAGGAAGCAUGAAUGGUAGUCAAGCGAGCACAAGGUGAAAUUGAAUGUUUUGAGGCGAAGGUUGGCUUCACUGUGGAUCUCUACCAAGUCCAUGACUUUUUGUGAUAAUAAUAGAGCAUUGGAAGAGAAAAGUGAGUGGAGGAAUGCCAUGAAACCUCUUAUAUGCCAAUAAUCUUGUACUUGUGAAAAAAGUGAAGUGGAAUUGAAAGAAAUAAAAAGCUAGUUUGAAGACCUUAAGGUAAAAGCAGUAACAACCAAAGUGAUUGCUAGGGGCUUUAGGACAGUAGGUAUGGUCAAGGUAGAAGCAUGGCAAUGUUGUGAAAAACUCAGUGCAAUGUAUAUGUUGUCAGAUGUUGGUACAUUAAAGUGGUUAUCAUAUAAAGGGUAGUUUGAGGACAGCAUCCACAACCUUUGUUUGUAGAAAGUGUAAGACAGGAGUGUGGCCUACUGAUGUAGUACACUAAGUGUACAUUUAGAUGUCAACAGUGGAGUUUUUUUAGAGAAAGUAGGGGCUCUACUACUUAGGUGGCAUGCUGAGUGCAGACAGAGGUGUGAGCACAGCUGUAAUAUUUUCUCUGUGAGUAACUCAGUUUUAUGACCAUGUAAACCCUUAACAGGGUUACUGUUAGCGAUUUCAUUGUCUGUGCACAUCCAUUGCACCCUGUUAGCCCGUGCAUGUCUUUGCUAUGCACAUGCAUCCAGCAGCCACAGAAAGAAAAUGGUGGAAGCGUCCACAAAGAUACAUUUCCUGAGGCAAAUGCUUGGUUGAUUGCAUUAUUCCUUCUCCUGGCUGAAAUAAUUUGUCUCAAUAUUUCAGAACUUGCUAAAUAUGUCGAUGAGCUGAAUGUACAGUAUAGUGUUAAACUCAUCAGCACAAUCUAAGAAAACACAAACUUCAUGUUUACUUCCAGAUUCAUUGAUGAAGUUUAAUCUUUAGAUCAUUUUAAUGGCAUUGGAGUGUUUGGCAGAAGGACAACUCCAUAAGUGGAUUUGCAUAUAAACAGAGGUUUUUAAGAAAGCAGGUUUAUACCUUAACCAGGUUACUCACCUUAUCUUGUUUUUUUUGUGUGUGUGCAUGUAAACACACUUGGUUAUCACUUCUAAUGGUUAUUACUACAAGUUCCUCCACAGAUUUUAUUGUCUCUCUUCUUGUUGUGUCCUCAGAGGAUAUACUUCCAGGACAUAAUUUUCUGUCCAGUAUUACUUUGGGCCUGGAAGCCUUUUAUUUAAUUACAGUCUAGAUUUUGUUGUUUGGUUUUAAGAAUCCAUUACAAAGUUAUGAAUACAGGUAUUUCAGUGGAUCAUGGGAGGAAGGUCCUGAAAUAUGGCCAAGUCAAUUUGCAGCUACCAAUGCAUUAAUUCAGUAAUCUUAAGAUUUCGCUGUCUGUCUGACCUGCUGUAAAGACAAACAGCACACUUCCUUGAUUUCAGUUCCUGUCUGUAAAUUCAGUAUCACUGGCAAGAAAUUGCAGAGGGUUCUUGUCAUCUCUGAUGCACAUUGUCAUACAGAGAGGCUGGCUACAAACUUGACACCUCCAAGUCAAUGAGCUGGAGCUUUCUCUGUUGCAGUCAAUGAGUAGUGGAGCAAGCAGGCCUCUGACUGUUUAAGUCCAAGUAUAUUGUCUUGUGUACAAAACUCUUACUUGAAUGGCAGCAGAAGGAUCUCUCCCUCCCACCAUUUUGCCAUGUCCAUACCAAUUAGUGACAACAGCAUCUAAAUAUAUCAUUGUUGGGUGAGCAGAGAUAAUACUUGGAGUGGAGGAAAUUUCUAAAAGAUAACUGAUCUGUCUAUAAUAUCUGUAUGAAUAUUCCCUCUGAGCAAUCUGAGUUUAGCUUAGGUGUGAUUGGUCAGUUUGGCUUUGGUAAUAUAACAAGAAGGGAGUGCAAGUAUGAGAUGCAUGAGGAAGAGUAAUGGCUUAUGUGGCAUACUGAGAGAGUCACCUUAAAAGAUGACAAGUAUAAAACUGGACAGGCGGUGAGAAAGGUGCCUGGAAAAUAAUAACAAAGUCUGAGAAGCAGGCUUUACAGGAACACUCUCAAGAGAGGGAGCACAUUCACACAUGCAGAUACAGAGGAAAGACACUAAAGGUGCACAUAUGGCAAGAGAUAACAAAUAUGUUGUAAAUAUUCUCUUACCUGUCUUUGACAAGUACCAUAGCUAAUUUAACAAUAAAAACAGAAUGUCAAAUCAAAGGUAUAAACAGACUAGUGACUGACAGCUGAAUAUUUUUUUUCUCAUUAACAUCUUGAGCAUUUUAUGUAUUAUAAUUUACCCUAUAGAUGUUGGAGUUGCACAGAAAUAGACCUGUGUUUGCUUUUUUCAGUCCAUCAUUUUUCUGUACCAGAGCUUUCUGGUAAGGGAUAUGGGGAUCCAAAGCCUGGAAGCAAGAGGAACAGAGUAGAUGCUGAACCUCUAUAGACUGCUAAAUGGUUGUCCAUCAGAGGUUAGUUAUAGACAUACCCACCAAGUGCCAUUUUGAUGUUUUCAGCUGGCCUAACAACACACCUGUGUUUACUGUGGGUAGAACAGAACUUUCUGGAAUAAACCUACUGGGACAAAAGGGGGGGCACAGAAGGCAUUCCAAGUGGGAACUGAAAUAUUUGCUGAAAGCCUCAGGCACACACAAGGUGCUGGAAAUAUGGAAACAUAAAAGGAAAUACAUACAUUUAUAAAUGACACUGAUCGAGCUGUUUUUAGAAGUGAAUUACUCAGGCAUUUGAGAAGAUCUGUCCCAUAAUACUCAUUCUAGAAUAUGUGAAGCAUAUUUUAAUUACUCAGAAAUCAACAGACAACUACAGCUCAGUCGUGUUCUGCCCCUGCAGUUUGCAAUUUGUUGAAAAAUAAAACUGGUACUAUGGCAGGCAGUAGAAUUACAUUAUUUAACAGCAAACUAAAUAUGCCAGGAUGGCACAGAAGCACUGUGGUUUGAGCUGCCACUUCAUGGAUUAAAACUUCUGGCCUUGAAUCUGCUUCUGGUAAUUACCUGAGGGUUUUCUUCUGGGUUCUCUGGGUUUCCCACAUCCCCAAAGUUGUGAAAGUUAUCUUAAUUGGCAAUUCCAAAUUGACCCCAAUGUGAGUAUUGUUGUGGGUGUGUGCACAAGCGGGCUGCUGCUAAUGCGGAUGUUGUAUUCUGCCUUGAGCCCAGUAGUGGCAGGAUGGGCUCCAGCCCCCAACAACCCUUAAUUGUAUUAAGUGGGUUUGAGAAUGUUAUCAUAUAAUAUGAAUAUGCAAAAUAGACUUUUUUACUUUCUUUAUAGAUUAUAUUACUAAUGUUGAAUUCAAACUUAAUAGCUUGCUGACAAGACCUUUGGUAUUUCUUCAUAUUAGUGUUAAUACUUUGGUUUAGAGUAAUGAUCAAAAUUAGCAAUGCUGCUGUCUUCAGAUACAAAUGAUUGUACACAGUAUUAGGCUGCCUGUCCUUAGUAAUUGAUUCCUAAAGUUGUGCUUGUGUAAAAAUGUAGUGGACGUUUUACACACCCUUUCAGUUUUGAAAUGUGCAAGUGCCACUGUAACACUGCAAAUAAAACUGUGUUUUGUAAA